rnacentral:rRNA from 1 species
GACAGAGGCCUCGAGCGUUAGGCGGAAUCACUGGGCUUAAAGCGUGUGUAGGCGGAUCGUUAAGUGUCUUGUGAAAUCCCACGGCUCAACCGUGGAACGGCUGGGCAUACUGGCGAUCUUGAGCAGCCUAGGGGCGACCGGAACAAACGGUGGAGCGGUGAAAUGCGUAGAGAUCAGGAGGAACACCCGUGGCGAAGGCGGCACUCUGGAUCGGCCCUGACGCUGAGGCGCGAAAGCGUGGGGAGCGAACGGG